rnacentral:rRNA from 1 species
UUAUCCUAGGGAGGCAGCAGUGAGGAAUAUUGGUCAAUGGGCGGGAGCCUGAACCAGCCAAGUCGCGUGAGGGAAGACGGUCCUAUGGAUUGUAAACCUCUUUAGGCGGGGAGCAAUGCCGGGCACGCGUGUCCGGAGGGAGAGUACCCGCAGAAUAAGCAUCGGCUAACUCCGUGCCAGCAGCCGCGGUAAUACGGAGGAUGCGAGCGUUAUCCGGAUUUAUUGGGUUUAAAGGGUGCGUAGGCGGAUUUUUAAGUCAGCGGUAAAAUGUCCGGGCUCAACCCGGGCCGGCCGUUGAGACUGGG